rnacentral:tRNA from 1 species
AAAAAAUUAGUUAAAUUAUAACAUUAAAAUGUCAUUUUAAAAUUAUUUAAAAAUUAAAAUAUUUUUUA